AUUAUAUUGAAAUAAUGGUAAGGAUUAAGUGUAAGGAGUCAUCUAAAAUCACCGUUGCAGUUGCUCUUAGUAGUUAAAACAAAACAAAACAAAAAAUAAAAGGAAAGCAUGGGCGUGUCACUGAAACGAAGAAGAAGAUUCUCUCUGGCUUGCGCUCCCAAGGUGAAGAGAUCGAGGCUUUAACCCCCCCCACCCCACCUCUGCCACAUGUUAUCCAUUGCCUCCGAACACUCCUUACCCACCAUCUCUCUUGAUUCCUUCUUCUUUCUCUUCUUAACCAUGAAUCCAAUCCCGACAUUAUGCUUCUCGCUGCCAGGGCUCUUACCCCUCUUCUUCUGUUUGCGAGCUGCGUCUAGCACUAUCUACUGCUGCAAAUAUGUGCAUGAAAUAUUACCUUCUGAUGCAUCUGAUUAUGUUAUUGGGAGCUGUACCUUUACUGACAAACCUUCUCCAGUAUCAUGAUUCCAAGAUGAAUUAUGCAACCACGGCCUGGUCACUCAAGCUGCGUCUCUUCUUUCCACUACCAAUUCAGGACGUGGGCAAGCAUCUCUCGGGCUUAAUCCUAUUACUUUCCACCUGUGCCAGCGGGUCACCUCUUGGAUCCAGGACAUUACUUCUUCUGGGUAUUAGUAGCAUUCUUAAGGAUAUUCUAUUGGGUUCUGCUGUCUCUGCUUAUGCAUCUGUAUCCCCCAGCACUGAGCAGGCCUGCUGAUCAGGUAUUGUAUUUUACUUAUUGAUAUCACAAAUUUUCUUUUGUGAAUACGUUAUUAAAUAAUGUUAGCUUUUAAAAUAACUGGCAUACAGUGAGAUGGUUAGGGGAAACACCUACAAGUCGAUCACUUGAGUUUAGGAUCAACUCUCUAUAUCAGCUUUAGUCUCUUCAUUUUUAUUUGUUUGCCGUAAUUUGCUUAGGUGUUUUGAAUAGUGUAUAGAUCAUAAUAUAUGUACAGGUCUUUUGAGCUUAAUUUAUUUAUGUGGAAGCAGAUGCCUCAAUUUACAUAUACUUGUUUUCUGGUCUUAUGUUAGAGGUGGUAUACAGAGAAGCGGUUCAUCAAUGUUCUUUUUCUGGCUUACUUGUUUUUUCUAGCCCGUGGUUCGCUGCUUCUUACACAUGACGAUGCGAGGUCUUUUUUUUUCAGAAAUGUUUUGAGCUUUAUAACUUUUGUUUUGUAUCUUAGAUUUUUGAGAUUGUCUACCUAGCGAACGAGCUCCUCCCUCCAUUGCCACAAGGCGUUAUCUCCCUUCCUACUGCUGGCACAAACACUUUGGUGAAAAGUUCAGGCCAAAAAAACCCUUCUCCAAGUACCUCAGGAAAACGAGAAGAUUCUCUCAAAGUUUCACCUAGACAAAAUUUGCUUAGUGAUCAACCUGAACUUCUGCAGCAAUUUGGAUUGGAUCUUCUUCCAGUUUUAGUGCAGAUUCAUGGUUCUAGCGUCAAUGGUUCAAAUACUAUGGAUACUUGAGUUCCAUUCCCCCUUUAGAUUUCAUUUGGUCGUCACCCUAAAUGUUAAUUUUCAUUUAACUAUUGAGUUAUAA